rnacentral:rRNA from 1 species
GACGAACGCUGGCGGCAUGCUUAACACAUGCAAGUCGAACGAGACGUUCGGGUUUAGUGGCGCAGGGGUGGGUGACGCGUGGGAACCUGCCCUUGGGUUCGCAAUAACUCCCCGAAAGAGAUGCUAAUACCGCUUAAUGUCUUCGGACCAAAGAGUUAUCGCCUUUGGAUGGGGCCGCGUUGGAUUAGCUAGUUGGUAGGGUAAAAGCCUAUCAAGGCGACGAUGCAUAGCUGGUCUGGGAGGAUGAUCCGCCAGACUUGGACUGAGACACGGCCCAGACUCCGAGGGGAGGCAGCGGUGGAUAAUAUAGGAGGAUGGGCGAAAGCAUGAUCCAGCAAUGCGGGGUGAGUGAUGAAGGCCGUAGGGUAGUGAAGUUCCUUUAGCCGAGAUGAUAAUGACGGUACCGGGAGAAGAAGCUCCGGCUAACUCCGUG